rnacentral:tRNA from 1 species
CAUUGAAUGGCUGAAAUGAAAGCAAUGGUCUCUUAAACCACUUUAUAGUAUCAUACAUACUUUCAAUGA